CAACGCCAAAUGUUCCUGGACGUCCAUGUGUAUGCAACAUCACAUACCAACACCAGAACAUGUUCUACUGUGGCCGCCCGAUAAAUCCCAGAUUAACUUGUGAUGAUUGGGUUGACACAGGAACACUUUACAUGCCUCUACCCCUUGACGUAACUGAUGCGGAGUACGACCUUAUAAGAAACUCAACUGGUUCAGCACAGAAGACGUUACUCAAGCAUAAUAUUACAAUUUUCACUGAAACAAAAGGUAA